GACAGAGGGUGCAAACGUUGCUCGGAAUUACUGGGCGUAAAGCGCGUGUAGGUGGCUCCAUAAGUCAGGUGUGAAAGCCCAGGGCUCAACCCUGGAAGUGCACUUGAUACUGCGGAGCUUGAGUGCUGAAGAGGAGAGCGGAAUUCCCGGUGUAGAGGUGAAAUUCGUAGAUAUCGGGAGGAACACCAGUGGCGAAGGCGGCUCUCUGGGCAGUAACUGACACUGAGACGCGAAAGCGUGGGUAGCAAACAGG
rnacentral:rRNA from 1 species